AACGAACGCUGGCGGCAUGCCUAACACAUGCAAGUCGAACGCGUGGUUUCGGCCACGAGUGGCGCACGGGUGAGUAACGCGUGGGAACCUGCCCUGGGGUGGGGGAUAACCGAGGGAAACCUCGGCUAAUACCGCAUACGUCCUGAGGGAGAAAGAUUUAUCGCCCUGGGAGGGGCCCGCGUCGGAUUAGGUAGUUGGUGGGGUAACGGCCUACCAAGCCAGUGAUCCGUAGCUGGUCUGAGAGGAUGAUCAGCCACACUGGGACUGAGA
rnacentral:rRNA from 1 species